rnacentral:sRNA from 1 species
GUAGAUGCUCAUUCCACCUCUUAUGUUUGCGAAUGCUUCAUAAACCUGGGAAUGACGCAGAGCCAUUUUACGGUGCCAGUUGUCCAGCCAGCCAAUAUCGUGAUUCACCUUAUUGGAUUCACAGGACAUUACGUUGAGUCUGGUACCAAUCGGUUGUCUUACCGAUCUGAUAUUUACACCUGCCAUUUUGGCAGGUGUUUUUUU